UACGAAGGGGGCUAGCGUUGCUCGGAAUCACUGGGCGUAAAGCGCACGUAGACGGACUCUUAAGUCAGUGGUGAAAUCCUGGAGCUCAACUCCAGAACUGCCUUCGAUACUGAGAGCCUCGAGUCCGGGAGAGGUGAGUGGAACUGCGAGUGUAGAGGUGAAAUUCGUAGAUAUUCGCAAGAACACCAGUGGCGAAGGCGGCUCACUGGCCCGGUACUGACGCUGAGGUGCGAAAGCGUGGGGAGCAAACAGG
rnacentral:rRNA from 1 species